rnacentral:rRNA from 2 species
UGGGGUAUAUUGCACAAUGGAGGGAACUCUGAUGCAGCGACGCCGCGUGAACGAAGAAGGCUUUCGAGUCGUAAAGUUCUUUUAUAUGGGAAGAUAAUGACGGUACCAUAAGAAAAAGCCCCGGCUAACUACGUGCCAGCAGCCGCGGUAAUACGUAGGGGGCUAGCGUUGUCCGGAAUCACUGGGCGUAAAGGGUUCGCAGGCGGAAAUGCAAGUCAGGUGUAAAAGGCAGUAGCUUAACUACUGUAAGCAUUUGAAACUGCAUAUCUUGAGAAGAGUAGAGGUAAGUGGAAUUUUUAGUGUAGCGGUGAAAUGCGUAGAUAUUAAAAAGAAUACCGGUGGCGAAGGCGACUUACUGGGCUCAUUCUGACGCUGAGGAACGAAAGCGUGGGUAGCAAACAGG